UACGGAGGGUGCAAGCGUUAUCCGGAUUCACUGGGUUUAAAGGGUGCGUAGGCGGGCAGGUAAGUCAGUGGUGAAAUCUCCGAGCUUAACUUGGAAACUGCCAUUGAUACUAUCUGUCUUGAAUAUUGUGGAGGUGAGCGGAAUAUGUCAUGUAGCGGUGAAAUGCUUAGAUAUGACAUAGAACACCAAUUGCGAAGGCAGCUCGCUACACAAAUAUUGACGCUGAGGCACGAAAGCGUGGGGAUCAAACAGG
rnacentral:rRNA from 1 species